AACGAACGCUGGCGGUGUGCUUCACACAUGCAAGUCGAACGAGGUAGCAAUACCUAGUGGCGGACGGGUGAGUAACGCGUGGGAAUCUGCCUUUAGAUGGGGGAUAACGAGCCGAAAGGUUCGCUAAUACCGCAUAGGUCGCAAGAUUAAAGGAGUAAUCCGUCUAGAGAUGAGCCCGCGUCCGAUUAGCUAGUUGGUAGGGUAAAGGCCUACCAAGGCGACGAUCGGUAGCUGGUCUGAGAGGAUGAUCAGCCACAAUGGGACUGAGACACGGCCCAUACUCCUACGGGAGGCAGCAGUGGGAAUUUUGCGCAAUGGACGAAAGUCUGACGCAGCAACGCCGCGUGGGUGAUGAAGGUCUUCGGAUUGUAAAACCCUGUCGCCAGGGACGAAGGGUGGGGCGUGAAUAGCGUUCUACUUUGACGGUACCUGGAAAGGAAGCCCCGGCUAACUCUGUGCCAGCAGCCGCGGUAAGGAUGAGACGU
rnacentral:rRNA from 1 species